UACGUAGAGUGCGAGCGUUGUCCGGAAUUAUUGGGCGUAAAGAGCUCGUAGGCGGUUUGUCGCGUCUGCCGUGAAAGUCCGGGGCUCAACUCCGGAUCUGCGGUGGGUACGGGCAGACUAGAGUGAUGUAGGGGAGACUGGAAUUCCUGGUGUAGCGGUGAAAUGCGCAGAUAUCAGGAGGAACACCGAUGGCGAAGGCAGGUCUCUGGGCAUUAACUGACGCUGAGGAGCGAAAGCAUGGGGAGCGAACAGG
rnacentral:rRNA from 1 species